rnacentral:piRNA from 1 species
UAAUUGCUGUUGAUAAGGUGUGACCGUU